AUGAACGCUGGCGGCGUGCCUCAUACCUGCAAGUCGAGCGCACGGACGAGAAGCUUGCUUCUCUGAUGUUAGCGGCGGACGGGUGAGUAACACGUGGAUAACCUACCUAUAAGACUGGGAUAACUUCGGGAAACCGGAGCUAAUACCGGAUGAUAUUUUGAACCGCAUGGUUCAAAAGUGAAAGACGGUCUUGCUGUCACUUAUAGAUGGAUCCGCGCUGCAUUAGCUAGUUGGUAAGGUAACGGCUUACCAAGGCAACGAUGCAUAGCCGACCUGAGAGGGUGAUCGGCCACACUGGAACUGAGACACGGUCCAGACUCCUACGGGAGGCAGCAGUAGGGAAUCUUCCGCAAUGGGCGAAAGCCUGACGGAGCAACGCCGCGUGAGUGAUGAAGGUCUUCGGAUCGUAAAACUCUGUUAUUAGGGAAGAACAUAUGUGUAAGUAACUGUGCACAUCUUGACGGUACCUAAUCAGAAAGCCACGGCUAACUACGUG
rnacentral:rRNA from 1 species